AGACUGACUUGGCUUAAAAGGUUAGAGGCCAUAAAACUACGUUAACCAGAAAGAGCCUAAAGAAAGAAAGAAAAACAGUCUAAUGUAAGCUUUGAGAAAAAUCCAAACAACUAUGAUGGACCAAUAAGUGGACAUGUCUGUAUACAUGCUGAAAGCCAGGGUAUGGCACUUAAUUUGGAAGACAAAAAUUAACCUAACCCCAAAUCCUUUCAUGAAUACUGGGGCAUAAGAUUCAUAUAUGGCUUGUCUCUCUAGUUCUUUUUAUAUUCUUCUUUGCUCUUAUCAUGAAAUUGGUUAGUCCAGAACAAAGUGGAUAUUUAAAAGUAUGUAUCAUAUCAUCCAGGGUAUAAUUCAAUUUAAAAAUCUAUGGUAUAUAUUUGUUAAAUUCUUAUUUUUGAAAUUACAAUCGUUAUAUUCUAGCCUUUAUCAUGAUGUUUGUGACUUUCUUCAGUCUCCAACUUCAGAUGAGAGAAUGGUUUGUUUCCUAUUCAUAUCAAAAAACAAAUGAACCACUUGGCAUUUUCAUUGGUCAUAUGACAUGAAUUAAUAUAAAAUUGAUAAAGAUAAUAAACUCAUGGAAGUUGACCGAAGUAGCAACUAAUAUUUGUAAUUUUGUUAUAAACAUGGAGAAGUCCACUUAAGUACCAGCUGUGUUUAUUAUUGCAUUUUUGAGGUCUAAUGAUCAUUAGUCUGAUAUAAACCAACCCUGUAAAUAGAUCAUUUGUGGGGAAAAAAACACAUUAGUCAAUUUUAAAUGGUAAAGAAAAACCACUCUUUUUAACAAAACAAAAAAUCAAAUACAUCUGGUAUGGGCAUCGAUCUUUGAGGCAACACUGAAUAUGUUAAAUGGUAAAAACAAGUAGUGAUGAAUCUUCCCAUUCAGAAUGUUUCUCAUUAUUGUAUUUGUCUAUCAGUGUCUCAGAUACAAUUUUGAAAGUUAUUGUCGAGCAUAUAUUUGUUAUGAAGUAUGUUUUAGUGAGAACUAAUUUAAUAACUUUUUAAAUUGUAAAAUAUUUAAUAUUUCUUUUGCAGUUAUAUAUAUGAACAAGGUAUAACUUUAUAAACUAUCAUAUUCAAAUAUGCGAUUUUUAAGCUUGUUUACCCUAGUUUUUUUUUAAGGUAAUCAGGCCUGUUGUACAUAUUACUCAAGCAGAACAUAUUGUUCUUCCAUGUAUAUUUUUUACUAGAAUUACCUGUCCAUUCGUUUAUCAUUCAAAACAAGGAAAUUAGUUCAGUGAGAAAAAUGAAGAUUUGAAA